GACACUCCGUGUUCCACCGAUCGAACUUUCCUAGGAAAGCUAGAAGCCUUUCGAGGUCCAUGUUGUUAUAGUGCUCGUGGUCGUAAAAUUCAGUUAGUGUUAAUCAGUCUGCGGCAAUCUGACAAUCGACGUUAUCAUCGGGGUUUUAGGAGUCGGCCUGCCACCCACCUCUGAGAAAUGUCCACGAUGGUACACGGUGAGAGGAUAUCAAAGUGCAUGGAAGACUCCACACUAAGGUGUUCAAUGUGACAAACUAGUCUUACACUUUGUGCGCUCAUGUGUUCUGCAUGUAGCCUCGUGAAGGUUUUCUUUGAGGCAUUUGGGUUACCAAGUAAAGCCGUCUGUUCGAAGACGAAAGGUGGUAUUAGGUUGGAAAACUACAGCUCAUUUCCUAAUCUCACAUACGAUAGGGAUACAUGUCACGAGAAUUUGAUUUGCAAACUAGGUCAUCGGUGUUCUUCUCUGCGCAGCUGACUUUUCCCAAGACUAAAUUGUAAAAUGGUGUUGUUACUUUCGAGCUGAAGUCUCAGCUCCAACUUUUUUGACAAGAAUUCUCAGAACAGCAAACGUGGACACCACAACCUGGUUCGAGAUGGGAUCUUCAUGUCAUAGAAUGACCUUGCUUUGUUCAUGUUAAAGCGUGAGCUUGCCUUGUCUUCUCAAGUUUAGUAACACGAUAUUCAAAAGUAUGGUCUAACGAUCUAAAGAAAGUAUGGAGCUUCUUAUUGCAUAUUCGACACAGUCUCAGCUGCUCAGAGGCAUUUUCGUUGGUGUAGUCUUGUUCAGCCAUGCCUCAGUACAGAGUGCAUUCGUUCACUCAGAGAAUUCUGCGGAGUUUCAAGCAGCACAAUCUAGCCCAGAAUCUAUGGCGGUGUCUCGGGUGUCCGUCUCACCACCCCUAACUGAUGAAAGUGGCUCAAAUCAAGAAAUCAAAGCAUUGACAGCGAACGCGACUCAGUUACUACAGGAUCAGUACGGAUUUUGCAUAUCUAAAAGGGAGAGAGAUGGCCUCGACGAAAUUUUCGGUUUCCAUAAUUCGGAUAUAAAUCUCUUGUUAGAUUGUGAUGCGCUGACUGGUGGAACCACAACGGAACGCUUCUGUGUCAUGAGCGAGCUGAGGCUUUACUUCGAAAACCUUGCAGCUGUUGACACGCCACCCCCAAACCUCAAUUGCAAUGCAACGGGUUGGGAUCAAGCCUGCGAAGCUGGUUGGGCUGGACGAGUCUCCCAAGUCGUGGAGCUGGAUAGUGAGAUCGUUCCUAGUAGACUUUUGGACCCUCUACCCUGUUGCGCUGGAUUCUUCUGCCCUCGUGGGCUCUCCUGCAUGAUUCCUUGCCCUUUAGGCGCUUAUUGUCCACUCGCGACCUUGAACCAUACCACCAAUAUGUGUGAGCCGUACGGCUACCAAGUGAUGCAAAAUAGUAAUUUGUACGCUGGACAGUGUGGAGGAGCAGAUAAAUGGGCUGAUGUCACCUCUGCAAUCAACAUAUUUUGUCCAGCAGGUCAUUUUUGCCCAACGCCCAUUGAGAAUAGAAUAUGUUCUGUUGGACAUUUUUGCAGGCUGGGAUCCACAGAUCAAGAUAAAUGUUCUCAUCUUACAACUUGCCAAAGUGAAAAUCUUCAAAGCCAGAACUUACAAGGUGUUGGAGGACUAAUCCUUGCUGGGUUAUUGAUUCUGUUGGUGGUGAUCUACACUUGCUCUGACUGGUUGAUGGACCUGCGACAUAGACGUAAGGCAUACGCACGAGAUGUGGCAGCAAGGCAGGUUCUUGAGCACAUUUCCAAAUAUAAGCUUUUCAAAGUCACCGCAAAACGGCAAGCUACAAAACUUACUCGAAAGCUAACUCGAACAAUCAGUCGAGAUCAGAGAGACCUUUCCAUCAAAGAAGAAUUGCAGCAAUCUGGAAUCGUGUCUGAAACGACACAGGAGAAUCAACCUACCUCGUCAACACCAUCUUCCUCGCGGAGGCUUUCUGCAAAUUUAUCUCCGAAAUUUCAGGACGUUUUGAAGCUCAUGACGGGAUAUUCUAAGAAAGCAAUGACUCUCUCUACGAGUCCGAGAGUUUCCCUUCAACUACCAACUUUGGUCAUUCCGACCAAGGAUACAUACAGCCAAAGGUUUGCUUAUGCUUAUGGUCAAAUUGAGAAAGAGAGAGCCUUGGGACACAGAGGAACUUCUCCAGAUAGCGAACAGGAAGACCAACCUGAUGAUGAAGUGAUUCGUAAUAGAUUUGGGAUUGAAUUGACUUUUUCAGAGCUCUCUAUGGUGCUCAAGAGCAGUGGGAAGAAAAUACUGUGUAACGUCGCUGGGAAGCUCUCCCCGGGCAGAAUUACAGCCAUAAUGGGCCCAUCUGGCGCUGGGAAAACGACAUUCCUGAACGGUUUAGCGGGGAAAUCAACAAACACUCGAACAACAGGACAGGUUUUCGUAAAUGGCAAGCCUGGGCCAAUGCAUUCAUACAAACGCAUCAUUGGAUUCGUGCCUCAGGAUGACAUUGUCCAUGGCAGUUUGACUGUUGAGGAAAACUUGUGGUUCAGCGCAAAUUACAGGCUUCCAGUCAACAUGCCAAUUUAUGAGCGUGUUUUGGUGGUGGAACGUAUCAUUCAAGAAUUGGGAUUAGGAGGUAUAAGAGAUUCUCUUGUAGGUACUGUAGAAAAACGUGGAGUAUCAGGAGGGCAGCGUAAAAGAGUGAACGUAGGAUUGGAGUUAGCGAUCGAACCUUCUCUAUUAAUCUUGGACGAGCCCACAUCCGGCCUUGAUAGUACAUCCUCUAGACUUGUGCUUCAGGCCUUGCGUCGGGAGGCUAUGGAAGGUGUUAAUGUGAUUUUGGUGGUUCAUCAGCCCAGCUAUGGGCUCUUCAAAAUGUUUGACGAUGUUAUGUUUCUCGCUAAGGGAGGUUACACGGUGUAUUUGGGACCCGUAGUUGAGGUUGAAGCUUACUUUUCAGGCCUUGGCUUGAUAGUACCUGAAAGAAUCAAUCCACCAGACUACUAUAUGGACGCGUUGGAAGGAAUCCCUGUGUCUAGUUCUCCUCAAUUAGACCUAAGAACUAUGCCCAUUAUGUGGAUGAGGCACAAGGGUUAUCCGAUUCCCAAUGAUAUGGUCGACCUUGCUGGGGAUGUGGAGUCCACUCCUACUGAGAAUCCAUCGCUUGUCCAUCCUGAAUCUUCUAGAUUUAGCGCCACGUUCUUUCAACAGGCAUGUCAGGAACUUUAUCAAAAGAUUCUAAUGACUUGGGACGAAAUAAAAACUGCACUGUCAAGAGUGGAUAACUUGUCUGGGCGCCAAACACCUGGAUUCUUCAGGCAAUUAAGAACCAUUCUACACCGAAUGUGUGGAGCUGUGGAAACUAGAGUGGCGAAGCAGAGGUUUCGUGAAGUAAAGCUCCAUAUUCAAGACUACGUCAUCUUGCUUAUUGCUGGGGGUUGCUUGGGCGUGCUUUCGAACAUGGAUGAUACCAACCUGGGAUCCGAGGGUUACCAUUUCACAAUCAUUGCCUUAGCUUUAUUGAUCAUGAUAGCAUCCCUCAGAACCUUCUCAGCCGACAAGAUUCAAUUUUGGCGUGAAAGUGCUUCAGGAGUGAAUCGCUUAGCCUUUUACCUUGCCAAGGACAUGGCAGAUAUCUUCAAUGUCGUUAUGAAGCCUCUCAUUUAUUUAUCGAUGUUCUAUUUCCUCAGCAAUCCGCGGUCAUCUUUUCUGUCCAACUAUGUGGUGACUCUGGUGCUAGUUUACUGUGUGACUGGUUUGGCAUACAUUUUAGCCAUUCUCCUUGAGCCAGCUCCAGCACAAUUGUGUGCAGUUUUUGUGCCCGUGAUCGCAUCACUCAUCGUGUCCUCGAAAAAAACUAGAUUCCUUCCCACUUUGUCCUAUUUCAGCUAUGCAAGAUAUGCUCUUGAGGCUUAUGUUCUUGCCAAUGCAGAACGGUACGAAGGUGUUUGGGUGAUUACACGCUGCGGUCUUCUUGCAAGUCAAGGCUACCGACUGGAAAAUUGGAGCAAGUGCCUGUUGAUUCUCUUCGGCUAUGGAGUUGUUGCACGCAUUGUGGCGAUACUUAGUCUGCUUUUCAGCCACAGAAAUAGGCAAAAAUGACGGACGCUAUCUGCAUUGGCUUCAUGUUCACAAAAUCCUUCGACUGGAGUGUGAAGGAGCGUUGCAAUCACACUACAACUAUCACACAUGAAGUUAAAAGAUACCAUUGCCAUUGUAUCAAGUUUCAACUCAGUAUGUAAGCUUCGCAGAAUUCAAGUACAGUUACUGUUGGAGAUUCCUGUGGCCGAGAAGUUGGGAAUGCCUUUCAUUUUCAAGGCAAUUUUUCGUAAUUUUUUUACAGGCGAUUACCUGUUUUUCUAGGGGAACCGAGAUGCAGUGCGCAGUUAAGUAUCCCCAACGCUUCUUACUCUCAAGGAUUUUUAGUUAAACUUGGUCCACCCAGAUUUAAGAGUCCAGCCUUGAUUUCUUUCUACCCCUCACUAGUACUUGUUGAACGACCCUAUCUGCCAAGAUACUUGGAAAAGGAAACUAAAGACGGAAAGACCGUUUGUCACUCUAACGCCUAUACCAUCUGCAAAGUGCAAGUUCCAGUACUGAACCAGGAGUCAUUCAUCUCCAGAUAAAUUAUUGAAUUGUUGCAAGUAUAAAUAGUGGAUAAUCUAUACAAAUGAAAGGACUAUUAUUUUGGUGUAAUUCAGUUCAGAUUUCCAUAAACAUCGCGGAUGACAUGUCUAUAUACUCAUAUCCUAUGUAUAUCGUCGUAUAGCUAUUAUAGGCAACUGAACAGCACAUGUACUCCUUGAGCUGGAACCUGAGUGAUCACAAGGAUUAACAUCUACCAGUCAUUAUACAAUUUUCCAUUCACUAACAGUGAAGGUUAUUGUUUCUGAGCUGCUAAAACCAUGGACGAUUCUAAGAGCAGCUAUGUGUAAAGUGGUUUACUUUUCAA